AUUGAACGCUGGCGGCAGGCCUAACACAUGCAAGUCGAGCGAGCGGCGGACGGGUGAGUAAUGUAUGGGGACUGCCCGAUAGAGGGGGAUAACUACUGGACACGGUAGCUAAUACCGCAUACUAUCGGAUAACCCAUAUGGGAUUAGCUAGUAGGUGAGGUAAUGGCUCACCUAGGCGACGAUCCCUAGCUGGUCUGAGAGGAUGAUCCGCCACAGUGGGCAGGAGACACGGCCCAGACCGCGACGGAGUCAGCAGUGGGGAAUAGUGCACAAUGGGCGCAAGCCUGAUGAAGCGAUGCCGCGUGUAUGAAGAAGGCCCUAGGGUUGUAAAGUACUUUCAGUCGGGAGGCGUUACCGACAGAAGAAGCACCGGCUAACUCCGUGCCAGCAGCCGCGGUAAUUC
rnacentral:rRNA from 1 species